UACGAAGGGGGCUAGCGUUGCUCGGAAUCACUGGGCGUAAGGGUGCGUAGGCGGGUCUUUAAGUCAGGGGUGAAAUCCUGGAGCUCAACUCCAGAACUGCCUUUGAUACUGAAGAUCUUGAGUUCGGGAGAGGUGAGUGGAACUGCGAGUGUAGAGGUGAAAUUCGUAGAUAUUCGCAAGAACACCAGUGGCGAAGGCGGCUCACUGGCCCGAUACUGACGCUGAGGCACGAAAGCGUGGGGAGCAGACAGG
rnacentral:rRNA from 1 species